rnacentral:rRNA from 1 species
GAUGAACGCUGGCGGCGUGCCUAAUACAUGCAAGUCGAGCGAAUGGACGAGAAGCUUGCUUCUCUGAUGUUAGCGGCGGACGGGUGAGUAACACGUGGAUAACCUACCUAUAAGACUGGGAUAACUUCGGGAAACCGGAGCUAAUACCGGAUAAUAUUUUGAACCGCAUGGUUCAAAAGUGAAAGACGGUCUUGCUGUCACUUAUAGAUGGAUCCGCGCUGCAUUAGCUAGUUGGUAAGGUAACGGCUUACCAAGGCAACGAUGCAUAGCCGACCUGAGAGGGUGAUCGGCCACACUGGAACUGAGACACGGUCCAGACUCCUACGGGAGGCAGCAGUAGGGAAUCUUCCGCAAUGGGCGAAAGCCUGACGGAGCAACGCCGCGUGAGUGAUGAAGGUCUUCGGAUCGUAAAACUCUGUUAUUAGGGAAGAACAUGUGUGUAAGUAACUGUGCACAUCUUGACGGUACCUAAUCAGAAAGCCACGGCUAACUACGUG